rnacentral:rRNA from 1 species
GAUUGGUGCUUGCAUCAUGAUUUACAUUUGAGUGAGUGGCGAACUGGUGAGUAACACGUGGGAAACCUGCCCAGAAGCGGGGGAUAACACCUGGAAACAGAUGCUAAUACCGCAUAACAACUUGGACCGCAUGGUCCGAGUUUGAAAGAUGGCUUCGGCUAUCACUUUUGGAUGGUCCCGCGGCGUAUUAGCUAGAUGGUGGGGUAACGGCUCACCAUGGCAAUGAUACGUAGCCGACCUGAGAGGGUAAUCGGCCACAUUGGGACUGAGACACGGCCCAAACUCCUACGGGAGGCAGCAGUAGGGAAUCUUCCACAAUGGACGAAAGUCUGAUGGAGCAACGCCGCGUGAGUGAAGAAGGGUUUCGGCUCGUAAAACUCUGUUGGUAAAGAAGAACAUAUCUGAGAGUAACUGNUCAGGUAUUGACGGUAUUUAACCAGAAAGCCACGGCUAACUACGUGCCAGCAGCCGCGGUAAUACGUAGGUGGCAAGCGUUGUCCGGAUUUAUUGGGCGUAAAGCGAGCGCAGGCGGUUUUUUAAGUCUGAUGUGAAACCCUUCGGCUCAACC